UUUUCUUCUUUUCCAGCCAAUGAAUUUGCAAUCUUUACAUCCAGUAUAUUCAGAGAUUGCUCUAACAGCAGAAAAAGUCGAUUGAAAAUACCAAUGCUUACAUGUAAAGCUGGUGGACACACCUACAAGAGAGAGAAAUCAAUUUUAAAAGGGUAUUCCUAAGUCACUCUUCAUGGCAAGACCAUCGUCAGCCCCAACCUCAAGCUUUAUCCCAGCAUCACGUAAAAGUUGCUGGCGCUUUUCCUUUUCCAACAUCUGGAUUUCUUUUUGUUGCUGUUUAAAGACAUUUUCAGAACCUCCUCCACUUACUGUUUCUCGACAUUCUUGUAACACUUUGGUUCGUCGCUGGAUAGUUCUUUUUGAAGCAAAGCUACUACCAAUUUUUGAACGCUGUAGGAUAGAUACUUGUAAGGGCUGCAAAGAAUAAAGUUGCGCCCUCUACGAAAAUGGUUUUAACUCRUACCAUUAAGCAAACGCUAUCAAACUGA